rnacentral:rRNA from 1 species
GAUGAACGCUGGCGGCGUGCCUAAUACAUGCAAGUCGAGCGAACAGACGAGGAGCUUGCUCCUCUGACGUUAGCGGCGACGGGUGAGUAACACGUGGAUAACCUACCUAUAAGACUGGGAUAACUUCGGGAAACCGGAGCUAAUACCGGAUAAUAUAUUGAACCGCAUGGUUCCAUAGUGAAAGACGGUUUUGCUGUCACUUAUAGAUGGAUCCGCGCCGCAUUAGCUAGUUGGUAAGGUAACGGCUUACCAAGGCAACGAUGCGUAGCCGACCUGAGAGGGUGAUCGGCCACACUGGAACUGAGACACGGUCCAGACUCCUACGGGAGGCAGCAGUAGGGAAUCUUCCGCAAUGGGCGAAAGCCUGACGGAGCAACGCCGCGUGAGUGAUGAAGGUCUUCGGAUCGUAAAACUCUGUUAUUAGGGAAGAACAAAUGUGUAAGUAACUAUGCACGUCUUGACGGUACCUAAUCAGAAAGCCACGGCUAACUACGUG